GUGGAUUAGAUACCCGGGUAGUCCACGCCCUAAACGAUGCGAACUGGAUGUUGGGUUCAAUUUGGAACCCAGUAUCGAAGCUAACGCGUUAAGUUCGCCGCCUGGGGAGUACGGUCGCAAGACUGAAACUCAAAGGAAUUGACGGGGGCCCGCACAAGCGGUGGAGUAUGUGGUUUAAUUCGAUGCAACGCGAAGAACCUUACCUGGUCUUGACAUGUCGAGAACUUUCCAGAGAUGGAUUGGUGCCUUCGGGAACUCGAACACAGGUGCUGCUUGGCCGUCGUCAGCU
rnacentral:rRNA from 1 species